ensembl:lncRNA
AUGCUGACAUCCAGGCGAAAGGCAGAAAACCUUGACCGGACACUGGCCAAAAGAUACAUCAAGACUGUACAAAGGAUUACAGAGGCAACAAAGGACCUGGAGAAACUCACCGCUGAGCUAUCUCUACAGCAAGACACAGUCCAGCAGUGGGUGUCUGAUGUUCAGCAGUGGACCUCAGGUGGGAAUAAGCGAAGGCAUCAACUGAGAAGAAAGAUUGCUGUUGAGAAGAAAGCCUUGGAAGUAGCCAUCAAUGACCACAAUGCUACUGUGGGGGAAGUUGAAAAACUCCCUCCUCCUGGCUCCUGGCCAUGGGAAUGCACUACAGAGGGAUUAAUGGAGAAAGGAUGUGAGGGACUACUCUGUGUGCUGAAGAGAAGAUUGUGUGAAGUUGAAGCAAAACUGGCCGAAGCACGCACAAUAUACAAAAGUAUUCUUGGACUGCAAACCUUGUCCUUAGAUGACUUCUUUGAAGAGGAAGACUUGGAGAAUACUUCCUCAACUGAUGAGGAACUGGGAGAGUAGUUAUUAGGGAGCUGAUGUGUAUGACUCUAAGAAGAUGUCUUCACGGUGUGUUGAACCCAAACAUCAGUGCUGUAAUAACUUGUAUGUGAAACCUGAGGCCAGUGGCGGUUCUAGACCAGUUUUAAUAGGGGGGCCAGGUUGGGGCCGGCUUUUUUGUUAGGGGGCACAUACAACCCGGAAAAAAGGAUAAAUCCCUCAUUCAGACAAAGCAGUGUUUACAAUUUCAACAAUUUUGAUUGGGUAGUAAACUGCUGAGACACUUUAUUUCUGCCUUUCCCUUCAGAACCAAAUCAUUGCAAGAAAUCUGUCAUUGUAUUAUUGAUGCAGACUCCCUGUCAGGGGGGCCACAGGGGGGUCCAGACUCAGAGUUACAGGGGCACUGGCCCCUGUUGGCCCCCCCCUAGAACCGCCCCUGCCUGAGGCUAUUUUACUGCUGUUGUAAGAUUUCCGUGUGUUUAGAGCAUGUACUGCAAAUUCCUCUGAAACUGUAAAAAAACAAGAAUGUUAGCCCAUUAGUCCCCACCCUCUGCCCCAACCCAAUAACUGGUGAUUCACAACUGUCAAACAUGACAAAUUACCUUGGUCUAUUUUUUUUGUAGCAUAAAAUUUUUGGUCGAAAUGUAUUGCGCAUCCCUACAUAGCUUCAGUGUAGUUGUGUAUAGUUUGUAUAUACUGUAUUGUUACUCUCUCCAACAGUGUGCUAUUCCAGCUUAUGUUUCCACAUGUUAGUAUAUUAAUACUCACUCACUCACUGUCAGGUGUUGUUGUGCAGCUUGUCUCUUCUCCUGUGGCAGGCAUUUACAUAUCUCGCUGCAUCUACAGUUUUUUCUCCCAGUAAAUGAUGUAAUUUUGGUUGGUCUGAGAGUUUGGGGAAGUCUGGGGUUGUAUAUGUAAGGGAUAAUGCCCGACGAGGUGUCCAUAAAUAGGAGUUAAUGGACGACGCGGAGGCCUAAGAGCGCGGAGGACGGUUGCCUCCGCGAAGUCCAUUAACUCCUGUUUAUGGACACCUCGAAGGGCAUUAUCCCGCUUAUACCAUGGUCACUUGCCAAAGAAAAGAAAUUCGGACCAUUAAUUUACAUUUUCAUGCAUUUUACAAUCAAAAUAUAAAGUUUUUCACAAGCCAUAACUUAGUUUCCCUGGUAACGCCUGAGGGUUUCACCAAUACCUGGAACAGUCAUUACUCUCCCGUAAGAUUCUUAUGCAACGGAGACGUUGUUCAAAUAGGACGGAUCAUAGAUACGACUUGGCAACGGGAGAUAUUCUAGUCCGCUCAGCCAUGAGCCAGAAAGCUAACGCUAUGCUAGCAAGAUUCAAAGUCAAUAACAUUGCGUACGGUUGACAAACAGUAAAUAUAAUUUGACAGUAUGCUAGCUAACACGAUUAGCUAGCAAACCAGUCAUGUCAUUGUCCCCAAAUCAAUAGCAAGAUUUUCACGAACAAAUGACCGGCCGUGUGUGACGUUGCUGUGGCCGCAGCCUGAAGCAAUGAGCUGAACAGCAAACGGGAUGAGAGAUUAUUCGCGUAUCAGUAAGUUUAGAGGGGAAGUGAACUUUCUGCAGCUUGUGUGUUACAGUCGCCACCCUGUGGUGUUCAGAGGUUAAGACACUGAAGGACUGACGGACUGAACUCAGUGCUGGAAAUAAAAUAUUAAGAUUUGAUAUGCCAGCUAGCGCAUUGAUUUACAGCGGUGAACAGUCAAUUUGACUGGAACUACUUAGUAGGUGUCCAUAUAUCAGGGGUUAAUGGACACCCUGCAGCCAAUCAGAAUCAAGUAUUCCCCCAGACCAUGGUAUAAGUCAUUUUAAUGUAUAUCUGGGUUCUGAUGUAUUGUGUAUGUGUCACAGUGCAGCAGGAAGUGCUGCUCUGUCUCCACCUGCCUGUGUGGACAGAGCCGACACAGCCACUCUUUGCAGCCGGGUCUUUCUGUGUCUGCCGCUCUCUAAGGCCAGGCUGUGGUCUGAGUCUGUGCAUAGUCAAUGUCUCUCUCUCUCUCUCUCUCUCUCUCUCUCUCUCUCUCUCUCUCUCUCUCACACACACACACUCACACUUUCUCUAUCUGAAGAUGGGGCAUAGUCUGUUAGCUCUAGAAAGCCUACUUAAUUUCACCCAGUAAAGUCAACUGUUGUUUCAACUAUAGUCAUGUCUCUUUUGAUUGAUUCAUGAAUAGUUUUCAUUUAAGUCAGUUUCCUGUUUUAGCCCAUUGUGUGAGUUGUUCCUUUCAGGUAAGGCAGUAAUAAGCAUUAGGCCUAUAUUCUAAGUUCAGUCCUUCCAGAAAAACGAGUUUGUUUGUGAUUGUUGCGGGCAAAAAUCCUUGAUUAUGCGGCACGUUUUCUUAAAAAAUGCGAUGGAAUAUGCGGGAUAUUUAUGCAAUUUUAUGCGAUGAAAUUGCAGCAACUUGCAAAAAGAAAAAAAAAAAGGUGAUUCCCCCAACACCCUGUUCUCACUAGGCUACUACCUUAAUGUAAAGAGUCAUUUCUUAUUACUUCCUAUGAUAAGCAGCAUACUACAUCACAGAAAGUGCUGGGAAUAUUUAAGUUCUCAGCUUGUUUUAUUUCAGACCUUAAUAAACACAUGGCUCAAACUUACAAAACAUUGAUGAGUCAGACAAGUUCUGUAACUUU